rnacentral:other from 1 species
AGCUCUCUGCCCGGUUCGUGAAAUCUGAACGCCCACGCGGAAUAUGCGUUAUUCGGGAUUUUUUCCAGUAGCGUUGUGUGCCAGCCCUCCAUUGAGAGGGACGCCUGAUACGCUAACAAAGGAUCCCACCUAUUUGGCUCUCGUAGUGAGGCCAAAGAUUAACGGCUGGUGUGGAGAGCAC